rnacentral:rRNA from 1 species
UACCAGCACCCCGAGUGGUCGGGACGAUUAUUGGGCCUAAAGCAUCCGUAGCCGGCCUUACAAGUCCUCCGUUAAAUCCAGCUGCUUAACAGAUGGGCUGCGGAGGAUACUAUAAGACUAGGGGGCAGGAGAGGCAAGCGGUACUCAGUGGGUAGGGGUAAAAUCCGUUGAUCCAUUGAAGACCACCAGUGGCGAAGGCGGCUUGCCAGAAUGCGCUCGACGGUGAGGGAUGAAAGCUGGGGGAGCAAACCGG